CGGGGUGAGUAAUGUCUGGGAAACUGCCUGAUGGAGGGGGGUAACUACUGGAAACGGUAGCUAAUACCGCAUAACGUCGCAAGACCAAAGAGGGGGACCUUCGGGCCUCUUGCCAUCGGAUGUGCCCAGAUGGGAUUAGCUAGUAGGUGGGGUAAUGGCUCACCUAGGCGACGAUCCCUAGCUGGUCUGAGAGGAUGACCAGCCAUACUGGAACUGAGACACGGUCCAG
rnacentral:rRNA from 1 species